rnacentral:rRNA from 1 species
CAAUAGCGUAUAUUAAAGUUGUUGCAGUUAAAAAGCUCGUAGUUGGAUUUCUGGUGGGAGCGAGCGGUCUGGCGCUUAGCGCGAGUACUUGCAUCGUCUCCGGCCAUCCUUGGGGAGAGUCUGUCUGGCAUUAGGUUGUCGGGCAGAGGAUCCUCAUCGUUUACUGUGAAAAAAUUAGAGUGUUCAAAGCAGGCUUAUGCCGUUGAAUAUAUUAGCAUGGAAUAAUAAGAUAGGACUUUGGUACUAUUUUGUUGGUUUGCGCACCAAAGUAAUGAUUAAUAGGGACAGUUGGGGGUAUUCGUAUUCCGUUGUCAGAGGUGAAAUUCUUGGAUUUACGGAAGACGAACUACUGCGAAAGCAUUUACCAAGGAUGUUUUCAUUAA